AUGACCAAUAUGUACAACAUGCCUUUUGCUCCAUUCAUUGUAAUCAACCGUCAUGGGCAAUCUUUCAUGUUGGGCUGCACGUUUGUAAGGCAAGAAAUGGAGACUAGCUUUGAUUGGGUUUUUGGAGCUUUCCUAGAGGCUAUGAAUGGAAGGGCACCAGAUAACAUAAUUACUAAUGAUGAUGUGGCAAUGAAAGUGUCCAUAAAGAACAUAUUCCCCACAAGUGUGCACCGAUGUUGUCAGUGGCACAUCAUGAAAAAAGCUCAACAGAAAGUUGGAUGGUUGCUAGGCCGGAACCCGAGAUUGUCUGAAGAUUUCAACCUUUGCGUUGAUUUCAGUUUCACACCAGAUGAGUUUGAACAAAAUUGGGCUGUGUUGAUGAUGAAAUAUGAGGCAAUUACACACACCCAUUUUGAGAAGCUAUAUGAAUAUAGGAACACUUGGGUGCCAUGUUACUUCAAGCAUAUAUUUUUCCUGUUCUUGCAAUCUACACAAUGA
rnacentral:rRNA from 1 species